GUGGGGAAUAUUGGACAAUGGGCGAAAGCCUGAUCCAGCCAUGCCGCGUGUGUGAAGAAGGUCUUCGGAUUGUAAAGCACUUUAAGUUGGGAGGAAGAGUAGUAACCUAAUACGUUGCUACUUUGACGUUACCGACAGAAUAAGCACCGGCUAACUUCGUGCCAGCAGCCGCGGUAAUACGAAGGGUGCAAGCGUUAAUCGGAAUUACUGGGCGUAAAGCGCGCGUAGGUGGUUCAGUAAGUUGGAGGUGAAAUCCCCGGGCUCAACCUGGGAACUGACUCCAAAACUGCAUGACUAGAGUACGGUAGAGGGUAGUGGAAUUUCCUGUGUAGCGGUGAAAUGCGUAGAUAUAGGAAGGAACACCAGUGGCGAAGGCGACUACCUGGACUGAUACUGACACUGGGGUGCGAAAGCGUGGGGAGCAAACAGGAUUAGAAACCCUGGUAGUCC
rnacentral:rRNA from 1 species